rnacentral:misc_RNA from 1 species
AAGUCGUAACAAGGUUUCCGUAGGUGAACCUGUGCGGAAGGAUCAUUAUCAUUUUGAUCUAAUCCUAAACAAACCGUGAACUGUUCUUUUGUUGUUCUUUGGACCGAAAGGUUUAUCGAAUGGCAAAUGCCUUGAGUGCUCUAUCGGGGAGAUUUGAUUAGAGGUGAUUCACUUCGUUUCUUUUCUUAUUUCUCUUUUAGAGUGCUUUUAACCAAUUGAACCAAUUUUAAUUUAUGACUGAAUUAUUCUUUUUCUUACCUAACCUAAAAAAUUAGGAAGAAGAAAAAGUUUCUUUAAUGAAACAAUAGUACAACUCUUAGCAACGGAUGUCUCGGCUCUC